AUUGAACGCUGGCGGCAUGCUUUACACAUGCAAGUCGAACGGUAACAGGCCUUCGGGUGCUGACGAGUGGCGAACGGGUGAGUAAUACAUCGGAACGUGCCCAAUCGUGGGGGAUAACGCAGCGAAAGUUGCGCUAAUACCGCAUACGCCCUGAGGGGGAAAGCGGGGGACCGCAAGGCCUCGCGCGAAUGGAGCGGCCGAUGUCAGAUUAGCUAGUUGGUGGGGUAAAGGCUCACCAAGGCGACGAUCUGUAGCGGGUCUGAGAGGAUGAUCCGCCACACUGGGACUGAGACACGGCCCAGACUCCUACGGGAGGCAGCAGUGGGGAAUUUUGGACAAUGGGCGCAAGCCUGAUCCAGCCAUGCCGCGUGCAGGAUGAAGGCCUCGGUUGUAACUAGCUUUGUUACGGUAACGAAACGGUACGAGACUCUAUAAAAGACUUAGUCUAAUUAGACGGUAACCGUAACGUAAUAAAGCAACCGGCGUAACUAACGUGCCAGCAGCGCCGGU
rnacentral:rRNA from 1 species